AGUCCUCUGUAGAGCCUAGCAUGGCCUGGCCACAGUGGAGCUCCUCUUGAUGGGGGAGCCCACACUUCCCAUGGGCAGUCCUGGGGAAUCUGGAUCUGUUGUACUUGAAUCAUCUUCCACCCACCCACCUGGUGUGUGGUACACCUCCUUAAAAAGAAGCCAGUGGAAGAGUCGGGGCUUGGGAGCUGCCAGCCUGGAGCUCAGACAGAGCCUGAGACCAAACCCCCUUCUCUUAGCUCACCCACAUCUGUGACCCUAGCCUCCAGCCAGGCUUCUCCUUAGAGCCUCAGACUGUGGCAGAUGCCACCUUCCUCUCUCACGUGAAGGGCAUGGGGCCAUUUCAACGCCGCUACCUCUAACUGGUACCCAACUCUAACUUCUGCCUGGGCCAUAACACAGGCACUAAGUUAUGGUGGUGGAAAGGCUUCCUAUGGGCCAGAGUUCAGGUCCAUGGGAGACACCUGCUUCAAUAGCUGUCUCCUGAGUCAACGUCAAUUACUGAGGCCUUGAGCAAGCUGCAGAACCUGGGGCCAAUAAUAAUAAUAUUAUGAAGAUUAGUUAUGUCUUUUUAGAUAGGACUGGUCUAGCAUUCUGUAUGUAGCUGAGGAUGACCCUGGAUUUCUGAUUCUCCUGCUUCCCCCUACUGAGUAAAUCACAGACAGACACUUCCACUCCUGGUUUAUACAAGGCUAGGGGUGGAACCGCACCCCUUUUAGAACAGGAAUAAGGGCUGGGGCCGUAGUUCAGUUGGUAGAGUGCUUACCUAGCAUAGGUUAAGUCCUGAGUUCGAUCCUUAGUACUGCAAGGAUAAACUAGGCGUGGUAGUGCACCCCUGGGACUCAGUACUCGGGAAGAUGCAGCAAGAUCAGGAGUUCAAGGCCAGCUGCUGCUACUUUAUUGAGUUUGAGGCCAGCCUGGGAUAUAUGAGACUCCAUCUCAAAAACAAAACAGAUCAACAACACGAAAGGCACCUGCUUAUAGUGAGAAUAAGCACAGCAACUGUGUCACGCUGCCUUGGGGGUGUGAUGUGGUGACACAUGGUGACAGAUGCCAGGCGCCUGGCACCAUCAGGCCUGCUGCUUUGCCUCUCACAGAUGGGUGCCCCUUUAGGAAAUCCCCUCUAAUUAUGAAGUUAGAAAUCUGAAUGGUCACAUGGGGAAGAGGCACACACUCAUUAGGAGGCUCAGGCACACAGCCUGGGCUACGUCAGAAGUCUCUCACACCAGCCUCCUGAAGACAGCAGGGCUCAGGAGAGAAUGCCUCCAUCCUUUUGCUGGCGCUUCCAUCUGCCAACUCUCCGGGAGCUGCUGGCUGGGGAGGGCCCACUCGGGAGCCUUCCUGUCCCCAGAGACCGCCCCCAGGGUCCUUCACCUCAGGCUUGUAAUCUCCGCUUUAAAGAGGACUCGGAUCCCUUCCUCCUGCCCCCCACCAUGACUAAUCCAUUCGCCAGGGCCCCAAUCCAAGAGAAAGCUAAUUAAAGAAUUUCUGCUCUUGGCUCAGUCUGGACUUUGAAGAUUCCCCUUGGUCUUCUUGGAGUAUAUGAAAACAGGUGGAGAAAGGGGGCGUUGGAAAAGGCAUUGGAUAAACCUCCGAGCCUCUGUAAUAGGCCUAAUCCCCCACAGCCUGCAGGCAUCAAAUAGUCCUCACCCAGCACACUGAGACAGGGGACACACACGGGGCUGCUUCCCACCCGGUGCUCCUUUGAUCCCUGUUCUCCUUGGAACACAGGAGCCCCUGCAUUCCCCACCAGUACAGGGAGGUUGAAGGGGAAAAACUGGAUGUUCUCCAGGACAGUGAGGGGCUGAGGUCCUCCUAUACCGGCUGCUCUGGCCUGGAGAGGUCCGGUGGAUGACGGGGAGGGAACAGAUGACUGGUGUGGUUGGGUUCUGCCUCCCCAACCCUCUCUCUCAGAGUCUCCACAGGAAGACUGGUGGACACCAAUGGCAUUUUCCUUUUACUGGGGAUUGAGCCCAGGGCUUUGCUCAUUUAAACAAACGCCUUACCACGAAGCGUCUCCGCCCAGGAAUAUUUACUUAAAUUACUAUUACCUUGGAGGCAGGAUCUCAUGUAGUCGAGGGUAGCCUAGAGCUCUGUAUGUGGCUGAGAAGGACCCUGAACUCCCAACUCCUCUGCUUCCUCCUCCCGAGUGGGAUCACAGAUGCAUCUACACUCCCAUUUAUGCAGUUCUGGGGAUUGAACCCAGGGCUUUGUAAACGCUGGGCAAGCACUCUACCAACCAAGCCACAUCCCCAGCCCAGAGGUUUUCAUUAACUAUCAGGAAUAUUUAUUGGAUAGUAAUGGGUAGAAAGUGACCCUAUGUGACACGGGGGCCCCUUGGCAGCUAUGUGCUCUGGCCAAGCAAAGACUGACACACAACAGUUGCUCAGCAAAGACCAGUUGAUCGUGUGCUGGCUUGAGACAGAAAGGGCCAAUGCAGCCAAUGCUCCUGCGGCCUUCAGAGAGCCUCCUGAGGGCUCUGGGGAUGGAUGGGACCUGACUGUGUGUGAGGUGCUCUUAGAUGCUUCCUUCCCCUUCCAGUAAUGCUGAGCCUUGGUGAUGCCCUGGGGGGAGUAGGGCUAUCUGAUGCCACUGUGGUUGUACUCUCACCCCGUUUCCCACUGGUGUGCCAGGGUGGGGGAGGUGGGAGGCACACUAAGCAGGGGUCUCUUGGGGUAUCUGCCUGCAUCAUGGAAAUAAAAAUGAUAAAAACCUGUCACUGAAUUCUGGGUGGCAGUAAAUUACUUAACACCUGAAACAGGUUGAAAUGUGGCCACCGUGGCUUUUAAUAAGCCCAUCUCUGAUGCAGCAGCUUCCGCGAGGAACCGGCCGGGUCUCUUCUCGAGGCAUAAUUUCAUCGCGGCCCCGGCUUGGCAGCGGUGCAAAUAAGAUUUCACUUCCCCUGUAAAUCUCUGAGGGGGGGAGCGCAAGAUUUCAUUUGCGCUGUCAGUUAGCGCGGAGAGAGCCUAUUUACUUUGCUGCAGGAAUAGUGGGUCCUUUGGAGAGGCAGGACACAGAGGCCAAGGGGAGUUGGCUGUGUCAGCACUGAGAAUUGACAUGGGCGGAAGAGGGCAGGGAGGCGGCUGGGGCAUGGCUUGGGGAGCACAGAUGGUUUGGACUUGCUUAAAGUAGACCAGCAGUACCAGAAAUACCUACAUUGUUUCAUGGAUAGGGGAGUGGCCUCCGAUGGGUCAGGGCUUUCCUAAACAGGGUGCUAGGAGUCCACCACAGGACAUGGUCAUGGGGCGGUGGCUUGGGGUGUUGGGACUUUCAUAGGUUUGGAUGCCAUAUGUCCAGGGAUGCCACAAUCCAGGGAAACCAGGUAGGUCUCCCUGUCUAGGAAGAAGGAGCAGGGGAAGGGAAGGUUCUAGAAUCCAGUGUUAGGAGGAUGAGGGCAAGAGACUUGAAAUGAGAACUUUUAGUUUAGCGUCGAACCAAACAGUGGAGCAGGGAGCGUUACACAGGAGUUCAGGACCUUGGGUUGCCCUUGGCUGCAAGGCAGCCAUUCUGGCUCUGGCUCUGGCUCUGCUCCUUCUCCUUCUCUUCUUUUUUGAGACAGGGUUUCUCUGUCUAGUCCUGGCUGUCCUGAAACUCACACUGUAGACCAGGCGGUCCUCCAACUCAAGAGAUCCACCUGCCUGUGUGCCAUUCGGUCCUUACUGGACACCAGCCCCCAUCCUAGAGUGAUAAGCGGUUCAGUGACUUCUUUGGGAAAGAUGAGGCCUUGGGCUGAUUGGCUGGUGGUGACCAGCAGCCCUUCUCUUGAGCUUCUGUUAGCAGUUGGUCUGGGAACCGCUUGAGAACGCAACCCUCUUCCCUGCCUUGGGGAGCUUUGAGCCCCUUUAGGUUUGGGGUGUUGUCCUAGGUGUCACUGUGCUGUGGAGUACAGUCAGCAGACUGUGGGCUGGGUUGGGGUUUGGGGACUCGAGAUAAGGCAGAGCCUGCCAGGGAAUUCUCCAAGGAGUAGUCGGGGCGGGGGCAGCUUGGCAGUGCCAGCCCCGUUCAGAAGAGACCAGAACUGAACUUGUCUCCCGUUCUUGCCUCAGGUGGUGAAUGGGGCCAAACUCUCCAUCUCCAUCUGCAGAAACGCCUUCAAUGGGAACCUGCCUCCUUAGGGGUCUCCCAGCCCAGCCAGGGCUUCCCUACCUCACUCCUUAAGAAUCCCCAGCACCCUGCUUCUAGGAAGGGAAGACUGUAUCCCUAGCCCUAGCACAUAGUAGGCCCUCAAUAACUCUCUGCCUAACUGGCUGGCUAGCCAUUUUCUAGGAAGUCUCCACAGCAGCCUCAGAAAAGAAAGCUACCUCAGGAGAGAAUGGGAGGCAGCCCUCCGAAACACCCAAGCAUCUCCUUAGAACUCAGAAUCCACCCACCUUGAUCUGGCCCCUAAAAGUCAUGUUGAGUGCUGCCCGAUGGAGUGUUCCCCCUUGAUCAGUUCCUGCCCCUAGCACGAUGGGAGGUGAAGUCAAUGGAGGACAGGAGAGGCAUCUGUGGGGCCAGAGUACCCAAGGUCAUCUCUGCAGGGGCUACCAGCCACCAAGGCCCGUGGAGAAACAACUGCUUCCUUGGAAUAUAAGGGGAAACUCAUUAACCCCCCCUGAGAUGUGAGAGCAGAUCUAAGGAGGAGUAAUGAGUUCUCGCUUUAUCUUAAACUUCGAAGGAAUUGCUGCUGUUCUCGUGAAAAUAAUUUCUUCUCUCUCCCCCCCCCAUGUGAGAGACCCUGACAUUGUGGAUGUGGUGGGCAUGAGCAGGGAACAAGGGACAUCUUCAGGGGCUGAAUGCGAGGGUCACCGGUGGGGCAAGCACAUGCUCCCAAAUGCCAGGCUGGGCAGUUCUGCUCUUAUCUGGGUGCCCACGUGGAUGCCAGAGCCUCUUAGGGAAUAAUCCUCAGCUUUUAUUAAUAACUCUUCCAGUGAAGACCCUCCCCACGUCUGCACGUGUCAGGGGGCUGCCCUACAUGGCUGACUUAAGCUUCUGCUGAGCUGUCCCCCCUGUUCCAAGCCCCCUUUCCUGGUCAUUACAGAUUCUUUUUAGUUGUCUUGUUUUGGCUUUUUUCUCUUUGCUCCCCCUGCAACAAGGUCUCAAGUAGUUUAGGUUUAGGUUGUGCUCAAACUCCUUACGUCGCCAUGGAUGACCUUGAACUCCUGAUCUUCCUGCUCCACUUCCCAAGUGCUGGGGCUACAGGUGCCAUCGUACCUGGCUCUUCAGCAGAUUCUGCCCAGGAAAUGUAUCAAACCCAAGAGUCUCUGCUCAGGCUGCUACCCCACCUGCCAGUGGACCCCCAACAGCAAAGCGACUCCCCACGACCCCCAAACCAGGCCUGAGAUUGUUCAGGAAGAACAUUUGAGACACCUAGCUCCUGAUGCGCUGGGCUGCUGAGCCCACAGUCAGCAGCAGAGAUGACUGUAAAAUUUAAAUCUUUCUAUUUAUUUCAAGAAAGGACAAGGCAGGUGGACUUGGACAUUUUAUAUGAAACAGACAAACAGAAAAUAGGACCAAUUAAUUAGUCACAUUCAUCUCAACAUUGAAGUUUCAAGGCACCUACAUUGAAGGAGGCCAAAGGGCGGUUUGGAGUGCACUUUGGUUUGUGUUGUUGUCGUGGUGGUGGUGGGGUGUUUGUGUCGCCAUUUUCUGAAAAACCCUUGUCUAGUGGUAGAGUCGGAGUGAAGCAGGUGGGCCAUGAGGCUGGGUGUAGCCAGGCCUUCCAGGGAGCAGGACCUCCAUCUGCCUGCCAGUUCCCAGCUGCAGCUGCUGCCUGAAGGGGGUACUCAGACCCCUCCCCCCAGACCGUUCCGCCCUUCAGAGAAAAAGAGAGGGGUGAGCAUCCAACAGGCUUCAGGGGUCCUAGUCUGGCUGAAGCAGAGCUUGGAACAUGGGCAGUUCAGGGUCUGCCUCAUUGCCUUGGUCUGGGUAGGCAGCCCACCUUUAGCAUCCCCAGAGGUUGGCCAUGGCCACCUCAGAACUGGGGACCAGGCUAUCCUUCCCAAUACCUGUUCUCCCUUACUUGGCAAUACCAACAGGCAUCCUUUGUAUCCCGGGAGGAGAGCUCUGCCAAAGCCCCCACUCUGCAGUGCUUACGUCAGGUCAGGAGAGGGGUCCUCUGAAGCAGCCCUGUACCUUUGCCUUCCUUGCUCACACCUGCUGGUGGCACCAGCUAGCACAAGCACAGGUCUGCAGAGCCUGAUUGGUUGACUCCCAGCCUCCAGAUCUCCCCCUUUUUCUCUCAGAUGAGCCUCCUCUACUGGGCCCGUGUUUUCCUCCUGACAACCCUCAGUCUCACUGGAGGGGCUGGAGGAACCAGGUCCUCACUUUUACACUAUACCCUAGAUACCCAAGUGGCUUAUUGGUUAAAGCCAUUCUCAGACGGUCAUGCUGGACUGGGGGGAAAUGCCUAAGGCUACUUUGGGGUUUUGUGGGUAGGGCUUCCCCACUUUGUGCCCAGAACCUUCAGAGAUGGGACUGGUCACAAGACGGGUAAGGGGCGGGGGACCUGCUACCUCGCCUUCCAUCUAAGGCAGGUUGAGAGCUGUUUGGAACCAUGGGCCCCUGGGGGAAUGAGCAGCGGCAGCCCCGGGCCUGCUGCGGCUUUGAUUGUCGGUUCAUGUCGUGCUUGUUUUUCUGUCUUGAAGAGAAAGUCUGAUUAGUUCCUCCAGGCGGGUGGCUGGGGUGCGGGGACUCUGCAGGGGUGGCAGGCAUGACAGGCUGUUGCCUUGGAUCUUGUUUCUUAUACCCCGCCCUCCUGGGUCUCUCUAGUUUUCUGCCAACCCCCCUCACCUACUUGAUGCAAAUCUUGGAGAAGGGAAACUGAGUCACCCAUUCAGGCUGUGGUGCUGCCAGAUCUCACUGAAUCUUCAUUUCCCAUCUGCUAGAGAUACACCAAUCCCGAAGCAAAGCAGGGCCAGAGGCUUCUGGGAGGAGUUUCCCAGGCGAGACCCUCUCCUGGCCAGACCACCAGCCAGGUGCAGGACAGAAGGACCCUCACUGCCAGCCCUCAGGCCUUUCCCAUGAAUAGACAGAUGGCAGGUGGGAAGAGAAGGUGGUAAGGGGUUCCAGGUCCCCUGCUGGUCCUCGGUUCCCAGGUGUGUGGGUAGGGAAACCAAACUACUGCUAAGUUGACUUGAUGGUGACUCUGUUUUGGGAGUGGGGCUGUGUGAAGCCGGGGCUGAUCCACCCGCCUGCUAGGCACAGUGCCCACCACAUACCCACAAUUCCCUCCUGGCACAAGCUGGACCUCUCAGCAGCAAGGAAUUCUGACAGUGGUUUCAGAGAGCCCAGAGUGGCUUCCAGGAGCAGGAGCAGCCCCAGGCUAGAAAGCUGUCUGCACACGGGUCAAGAGAGACAUGGAGAGAGUUGGUGCCCUUUCCUCGUGUGGCACACUCUGCAAGCCCCUCAUGAUAGGAGUAGCCCCAGGGACAAUGAAAUUCCCAGAAUCAGGGGGGAAAUACAUUAAAAUCUAAAAGAGGUAGAGACAGGAGGAUCAGAAAUUUAUGGUAUUCUUAGCUACAUAAAGGGUUCGAAGCCAACCUGGGUUAUGUGAGACCCUGUCUCAAAAAAAAAAAAAAAAAAAAUUAAAGGAGGUAGCAUGGGGCAUCAGAAGUCCAGUGCCAGACUCAAAACAUCAGGGGUGGGAGUGGGGUGGAGAAAAAGGGAAAAAAAGAAAGGCGGGAGGAGAGAAAGGGAGCCAUUUUGCCAGUUGUUUUAAAAGAAGCCAAUGUGGAUAUUUCACAUAAAUGAUUGGGACACUUCAAAAGAAUCGGUAAAUGCCUAAAAACUGGUGAGCAUUCCAAGAGAGCCCCAGGCACCAUCAGCUGGCUGUGAUGGACGGACUGGCUGGCAGGCAGUGUUGAGACUAUAGUUACUCCUGGGUGUGAGGCAGCUGGGCUGGAGGGAACAGGUCCAGGGACAUCCUGGGGCGUGCAGUGCUGAGCCCAGCAUGUGUCUUGUCAGUGUCCCUCAGUACCUGCUGAGCACAGACUGGGGAAGGAUGUCUUUGUACAUCCUGUCCUGGAGGUUGUGAUAAAGCAAGCGUGGGAACCGGAAUCUUCUAGACAAAGACCCAGGCCUUAGCUCAGGCUGUAGAGCUGUGGGUCACAUCCUCAGAUAACGCUUGGGUGCUUCAUGGGACGCACAGGCCACCGUCUGCUUCCUUUGUUGGGCCCAGCUUCUCUCUCCUGACCUUCAGGGUUUUCUUUACAGCUGGCCUCACUCUUUCUCUGACCCCAGAGAGCAGCAGGUCCCCAGCAUAAGGAUACAGGACGUCUCAUGGCUCUGGAGUCUUACUCUCCAAGCAAUGGCGCAGGCUGCUUCCUUUGAUCCAGAUGUGGCUUGCCAUCUCUCAAGACAGACUGACCCUAGGUAACAGGAUCAGAGACUGCCCAGGGACUGUAUGACCUGUCCUGGCAACAGUGACCCUUUCUGUUCCCAUGGCCCUGGCCCCAGCUAUUCAAUUUAUUCAGUCCUUAGAGAUGCCAGCUCCUCAGGGCGCUAGGCAGGAACAGCUGCUACCCCCUCCCAUCCAGACCCGGAAAAUGCCUGCUGUGUGGGCUGCCACUUGGGGUAGGUUCAUAACCCACAAAAAAAAUCCCCCUUUCCCUUCACCUCCAAGGAGUUUAAUCUCUUCUAAUCAAUUUAGCAGACUCGCUUGGAUGUAAACGGUAAUGAUUUGCAUUUUUGAGCCUUUUUAUCCUCCUUACCAAAAAAAAAAAAAAAAAAAAA